GUCUACGGCCAUGCUACCCUGAACAAGCGCAAUCUCGUCUGAUCUCAGAAGCUAAUCAGGGUUGGGCCUGGUUAGUACUUAGAUGCGAGACCAUCCAGGAAGACCAGGUGCCGUAGGCA
rnacentral:rRNA from 1 species